ACUUGCUCGCUCCACACUCCGCCGCCAUAAGCUGCCGUCAUGGUGAAGCUCACGAAGGCGGGUAAAAAUCAAGGUGACCCCAAGAAAAUGGCUCCUCCUCCAAAGGAGGUAGAAGAAGAUAGUGAAGAUGAGGAAAUGUCAGAAGAUGAAGAAGAUGAUAGCAGUGGGGAAGAGGUUGUCAUACCUCAGAAGAGAGGCAAGGAGGCUGCUGCAACCCCAGCAAAGAAAGUGGUAGUUGCCCCAACAAAAAAGGGUUGCAGUUGCCCCACCGGCUAAGAAAGCAGCUGUCGCUCCAGGCAAAAAGGCAGCAGCAACACCUGCCAAGAAGACAGUUACACUGGCCAAAGCAGUUGCCACACCUGGCAAAGCAUUGGUAGCAACUCCUGGUAAAAAGGGUGCUGCCAUUCCAGCCAAGGGGGCAAAGAAUGGCAAGAAUGCCAAGAAGGAAGACAGUGAUGAAGAGGAGGAGGAUGACGAGGAUGAGGAUGAGGAUGAGGAUGAAUUUGAACCAGCAGUGGUGAAAGCAGCAGCUGCUGCCCCUGCCUCAGAGGAUGAGGACGAUGAGGAGGAGGAGGAGGAUGAAGAUGAUGAUGAAGAUAACUCUGAAGAAGAAGCUAUGGAGACUACGCCAGCCGAAGGAAAGAAAGCUGCAAAAGCUGUUCCUGUUCCUGUGAAAGCCAAGAAUGUAGCUGAGGAUGAAGAUGAAGAGGAUGAGGAUGAGGAUGAUGAUGAUGAUGAGGAGGAGGAGGAGGAGGAUGAAGAUGAUGAGGAGGAGGAGGAAGAAGAGGAAGAAGAGCCUGUCAAAGAAGCAUCUGGAAAACGAAAGAAGGAUAUGACCAAACAGAAAGCAGCUCCUGAAGCCAAGAAACAGAAAGUGGUCCCAUAUAAAUCUUAGAAUUAUUAUUGCUUUGGGUAGUGUGAACACCUAAACUUUAACAAAUCUGCUCCCGAAUUAAAAACUGGUAUCAGCGAUGUUUUUGCUGAAAACGAUCUUGCUGUUGUGGAUGUCAGAAUUGGUAUGACUAGGAAAUUUGGUUAUGUGGAUUUUGAAUCUGCUGAAGACCUGGAAAAAGCCUUGGAACUUACUGGUUUGAAAGUCUUUGGCAAUGAAAUUAAACUAGAGAAACCAAAAGGCAAAGACAGUAAGAAAGAACGAGAUGCGAGAACACUUUUGGCUAAAAAUCUCCCUUACAAAGUCACUCAGGAUGAAUUAAAAGAAGUGUUUGAAGAUGCCGUGGAGAUCAGAUUAGUCAGCAAGGAUGGGAAAAGUAAAGGGAUUGCUUAUAUUGAAUUUAAGACAGAAGCUGAUGCAGAGAAAACCUUUGAAGAAAAGCAGGGAACAGAGAUCGAUGGGCGAUCUAUUUCCCUGUAUUAUACUGGAGAGAAAGGUCAAAAUCAAGACUAUAGAGGUGGAAAGAAUAGCACUUGGAGUGGUGAAUCAAAAACUCUGAUUUUAAGCAAUCUCUCCUAUAGUGCAACAGAAGAAACUCUUCAGGAAGUAUUUGGGUACUUUUAUUAAAGUACCCCAGAACCAAAAUGGCAAAUCUAAACGGUAUGCAUUUAUAGAGUUUGCUUCAUUUGAAGAUGCUAAAGAAGCUUUAAAUUCCUGUAAUAAAAGGGAAAUUAAGGGCAGAGCCAUCAGGCUGGAGUUGCAAGGACCCAGGGAAUCACCUAAUGCCAGAAGCCAGCCAUCCAAAACGCUGUUUGUCAAAGGCCUGUCUGAGGAUACCACUGAAGAGACAUUAAAGGAGUCAUCUGACGGCUCUGUUCGGGCAGGGACAGUCACUGACCGGGAAACUGGGUCCUCCAAAGGGUUUGGCUUUGUAGACUUCAACAGUGAGGAGGAUGCCAAAGCUGCCAAGGAGGCCAUGGAAGAUGAUGAAAUUGAUGGAAAUAAAGUUACCUUGGACUGGGCCAAACCUAAGGGUGAAGGUGGCUUCGGGGGUCGUGGUGGAGGCAGAGGUGGCUUUGGAGGCAGAGGUGGUGGCAGAGGAGGCCGAGGAGGAUUUGGUGGCAGAGGCCGGGGAGGCUUUGGAGGGCGAGGUGGCUUCCGAGGAGGCAGAGGAGGAGGAGGUGACCACAAGCCACAAGGAAAGAAGACGAAGUUUGAAUAGCUUCUGUUCCUCUGCUUUCCCUUUUCCAUUUGAAAGAAAGGACUCUGGGGUUUUUACUGUUACCUGAUCAAUGACAGAGCCUUCUGAGGACAUUCUAAGACAGUAUACAGUCCUGUGGUCUCCUUGGAAAUCGUAUAGAUACCAUUUCAAGGGCAAUACCUUGUUGGUUUUGACUGGAUAUUCGUAUAAACUUUUUAAAGAGUUGAGUGAUAGAGCUAAUCCUUA